UACGGAGGGUGCAAGCGUUGUUCGGAAUUAUUGGGCGUAAAGCGCGUGCAGGCGGUUGCUUAAGUCUGAUGUGAAAGCCCUGGGCUCAACCCGGGAAGUGCAUUGGAAACUGGGCAACUUGAGUACGGGAGAGGAUAGUGGAAUUCCGAGUGUAGGGGUGAAAUCCGUAGAUAUUCGGAGGAACACCGGUGGCGAAGGCGGCUAUCUGGACCGAUACUGACGCUGAGACGCGAAAGCGUGGGGAGCAAACAGG
rnacentral:rRNA from 1 species